AAUGAAUGAUGACAAUAUGUUUCGGUCCCAAAUGAUCAUCUGUGAUUAUUGCUUUGAGAUCGUUCUGACUUU
ensembl:snoRNA SNORD73 Small nucleolar RNA SNORD73